rnacentral:rRNA from 1 species
UGGGAAUUUGGACAAUGGGGCAACCUGAUCCAGCAAUGCCGCGUGUGUGAAGAAGGCCUUCGGGUUGUAAAGCACUUUUGUCCGGAAAGAAACGCCGUGGUUAAUACCCGUGGCGGAUGACGGUACCGGAAGAAUAAGCACCGGCUAACUACGUGCCAGCAGCCGCGGUAAUACGUAGGGUGCAAGCGUUAAUCGGAAUUACUGGGCGUAAAGCGUGCGCAGGCGGUUCCGCUAAGACAAGAUGUGAAAUCCCCGGGCUUAACCUGGGAACUGCAUUUGUGACGGGCGGGCUAGAGUAUGGCAGAGGGGGGUAGAAUUCCACGUGUAGCAGUGAAAUGCGUAGAGAUGUGGAGGAAUACCGAUGGCGAAGGCAG